rnacentral:sRNA from 1 species
GCCGGUCAUGGUGGUGCAUGCCUUUAAUCCCAGCAGCUCAGGAGGCUGAGACAGGAGGUCUGAGAGUUCAAAGCCAGCCUCAGCAAAGGUGAGGCACUAAGCAACUCAGCAAGACCCUGUCUCUA